AGCGGAGGAAAAGAAACCAACAGGGAUUGCCUCAGUAACGGCGAGUGAAGCGGCAAAAGCUCAAAUUUGAAAUCUGGCACCUUCGGUGUCCGAGUUGUAAUUUGAAGAAGGUAACUUUGGAGUUGGCUCUUGUCUAUGUUCCUUGGAACAGGACGUCACAGAGGGUGAGAAUCCCGUGCGAUGAGAUGCCCAAUUCUAUGUAAAGUGCUUUCGAAGAGUCGAGUUGUUUGGGAAUGCAGCUCUAAGUGGGUGGUAAAUUCCAUCUAAAGCUAAAUAUUGGCGAGAGACCGAUAGCGAACAAGUACAGUGAUGGAAAGAUGAAAAGAACUUUGAAAAGAGAGUGAAAAAGUACGUGAAAUUGUUGAAAGGGAAGGGCUUGAGAUCAGACUUGGUAUUUUGCAAGCCUUACCUUCGUGGUGGGGUCCCCUGCAGUUUACUGGGCCAGCAUCGGUUUGGAUGGUAGGAUAAUGC
rnacentral:rRNA from 1 species